AAAAUCCGUUGACUUUUUAA
rnacentral:tRNA from 1 species